rnacentral:lncRNA from 1 species
GUCUUUUGACAGGAGUCUCUUUGUAGCGAUCUCUUGUUGAGAGCUCUCAAGACUUACUUGAUAAAUAAGACAGUAUUUUAGAUUUGAAUAAACUUGCAAAGAUGUGUUUGAUCCUUUGUUACAGGAAGAACAUUCUUAGAGGACACAACAGAUUGGAGAAUCAUUUAGCAAAUGUUUACUUGCUUCCAUCUAUCUUGGGGCAGAGCAUACCUUGACCAUUAUCUUACUUUGCCAAUGGAAGGAACACUCGUUGUACCAAGAAGACCUAGAGAUAAAGAUUCCAGUGCUGACAGUUAAUUUAGAGUGUGAAGGCAGUACCAGCAGAGAUGUGGGAAAUACCAG